UUAUUAUGGAUCCUCCAACAUAUGAUGCUUGUUUAGAACCUUUUGCUAGCCAAAACUUGGUACUAAGUAGAGAUACUACUUGUGCAUCCUAAUCCUUGAGCCAAGUUUAUUUCAUGAGAGUCCACCAUACCUACCUAUAUAUGGUAUUUCACUGCCAUUCCAAGUAAAUAUUGUAUGUGCCACCUCUAGAACCUUCAAAUAAACAUUUGUUUUGUGUGCUCGUACCUCUCAUGGAGCGAUUAGGGCGUGUUAAUCUCAUGAUGAGUGUUUAUUCACUUGUCAUUGCACGAGAGAGGAUGGUAAAAAGGAUGUCCAGUCCUGCAUAAUACAAAAAAAAAAAAAACAAGAACUCCAACUAGAAAAUUGAUUGUUUAUAGGGCACCCGUGGAUACGGCUAGCCAUGGAAAGUGUUUGAAUGGUUGAGGGAGAGUAAAAUUUCAAUUAUGUUUGGAAACCGCCAAUAAUGUGAUUAGCAUGGAAGAUAUUCAAAUCCCUCGUCAUGACGUUGACAAGAAAGGCACACCACCCAAAAUAUAUUCAUCUCUGUUUUAAGAAAUUAUCUCUGGCACCUCUGCACAUCCCUGAUUCUCGUGAAGGGACAAUCUAUUUACUUUUAUGUUAUUUACUUUCAUGUUGAGUCAACUUCUUAUUCCAACUUCAAUCUAUUAGUUGGCAAGCAUCAUGUGGUGGUGAAGAUCCAGGCAUAUAUAUCCAGUCAGAUAUAUUUGAUCAUGAUUCAUUAAUGUUGACUAUUAUCUUUAUGCUAAGUGCGUUGGGAGGCGAAACAUUAAGCCCCUAUCUUCCUCUGUGUUCGAUGGAUGCUAUUUCUUCUAAAAAAUAUGCUUUUAGUAUUAGCAAUCAUAGAAGACUAUAUGAUAAUUGAGUAUGUGGACCUCCUACUUAGACUUUGCUGAAAAUAAUAUGCAUUGAAAUUGUUUGAUGACUAAGAAGAUAAGUUGUUAAGUUUCAAUAGAAUGCAUUGUUUGAACCAUGACAUGUGAAUUCACUACUACUCUAUCUUGAUGUGUUUUAUAAGAAAUAGUUGUUGUUUUAUGAUGCUAGAAAAGUGUUUGGAAUUAUCAUUGAUCAAAAGUAUACACUAUGCUAGCAUUCACACUUCAUAAAUUACUUCUUUUAUCAUUUACCUACUCGAGAACGAGUAGAAAUUAAGCUUGGGGAUGCUGAUAGGUCUCCAACGUAUUGAUAAAUAGAACUAACCCGGACUGACGUUAUAUGAUUUUGAUGCACUUUAUAUGAUUUAAUUAAAACUAACCCGGACUGACGUUGUUUUCAGCAGAAUUACCAUGAUGUUGUUUUUGUGUAGAAAAUAAAAGUUCUCGGAAGCACCCGAAACUUUUUGAUGAUUUUUUCUAGAAGAUAUCAGAAAUAUUGGAGUGAAGAAUCACCGGAGGGGGGCCACUAGGUGCCACGAAGCCAUAAGGGUGCAGCCAACCUGUGGGCACACCUUGAUAACUUAGGACCACCUCAUGGCUACGUUUGACGUAAUUCCAACACUGAAAAUCCUAUAUAUUGGGAAACCCCCAAAAGUUAAGCUAGAACUUCCGCUCCAUCGCCGCAACUCUCUGUAUAGAAGAAAUAACAUCCAGAGCCAUUUCUGGCACUCUGCUGGAGGGGGCAAUCAUCACCGAAGGCCAUCUACAUCAUCUUAGAGGUAUCCAUGUUGAAGAGGGAGUAGUUCAUCCUCAGGGCUGAGGGUAUGUACCACUAGCUAUGCGUUUGAUCUCUCUGUCUCUCUCUCUCUCUCUCUCUCUCGUGUUCUUAGAUGUCAUGAUCUUGAUCUAUCACACGCUUUGUUAAUGUAGUUGGAUCAUAUGAUGUUUUCCCU
rnacentral:lncRNA from 1 species